rnacentral:rRNA from 1 species
UACGGAGGGGGCUAGCGUUGUUCGGAAUUACUGGGCGUAAAGCGCACGUAGGCGGCUUUGUAAGUUAGAGGUGAAAGCCCAGGGCUUAACCCUGGAAUUGCCUUUAAGACUGCAUCGCUAGAAUCGUGGAGAGGUGAGUGGAAUUCCGAGUGUAGAGGUGAAAUUCGUAGAUAUUCGGAAGAACACCAGUGGCGAAGGCGACUCACUGGACGCGUAUUGACGCUGAGGUGCGAAAGCGUGGGGAGCAAACAGG